GGAGAUCUGGUGUUUCCCAAAAACCAGAAAUGCUCUCUCCUGUUUUAACAACAACUGUUUCUGGAAGAAAAACUCUAACAAAACAUAGUGGAGGUCCCUUACAUAGUGAACAGGGAAUACUCUUCUUAUGAGAAAUCAGUGAUUGCAAACGCCAUGUCCACCUUUCACUCCAAAACCUGCAUCCGCUUUGUGGCCAGAUCAACUCAGACUGACUACAUCAGUAUCGAGAGCAAAGAUGGGUGCUUCUCUUCUUAUGGUAGAACUGG